rnacentral:lncRNA from 1 species
UUUUGCAUAAAGGGCCAUCUACAAUGGAGUGUUUUAGUCGUAACAACGCUAAAUCUACGACCAUGCUGUCAAUAAUAUAAACGACGUAACAAUAAUAUACAAGCCGGCUAUCAUAGAGAGGUGACUAAAAACUAACCCCGAACACCUAAACGCUCAUUCACUUUCAGAACGCAACGGACGCAGGAUGGACCGGGACCGGAGCAAAUAUGGCAUCGCGAAUCUCUUAAUUGAUCGAGGCAGUUCUGACAUGGACCGGUGCCGGGAAGCAAAUGUCGCGCCAUAUCUAUCUACUUGAAUGCGACGAACGCAGAAUGAAUCGAUUCCGGGACGAAUGGCAUUGCAAAUUACUUAAUUGAUCGUGACAAUCGACAUGGAUCGGUUCCGGGGCGGAUGACAUCGCGAUAUUUAUUUGGGUCAUGAAAAGAAGUGCUGAAGGCAGAAAAGGUAGAGGUAGCAGAAGAGAAUCUUUCAGUAGAGGAAGAGGCGGCAAUAAUGGAGGUUUCAAAAGUCGGAGGUGGUAGAUUUAAUCGUUCAGGUGGAGGUCGAGGAGGAGACAGAGGAAGAUGGUAGAUUUAAAAAUAUGUGUAUACUAGAAUAAAUCCUUAAAAUAUGAAUUAUAAUGAUCAAUCUUGUAAAUGACAAAGGGAUUAAAUUUUAUACAAGUUAA